CCAGGCAGCGCAGUGCAAACGAGGUGUGGAGUCUGGCAGUCCACACACACACACACACACACACACUGCCAACCCAACGACUAUCACCAUGGUCUGCACUGCUACACUGACUGCCAAACUUAUUAAAAAUAUAUAUGUUUUAUAAUAUCUAUUCCAUUUUUUUUGUGUGGUUGAAGAUGAUGCAUCAGCCGAUUAAUGAGCAAUGUUUUUAAAAUGUCAUAUCACGAAUACUGAGAAAAUAAAUAACCCAAAAAACUGAAAAAACAGUGAUGUGCGUGUGUGUGUUUGAGAGAGAGAGCAGGUGUUGCGCCAGGUAAGCUCAGCGUCUGAGUGCUGGUUCCAUCUGUCCUGAAGCAUGGCUUCCUGUGUGUGAGACACCGGUUCCGUUCUGUCCCCCGGUCUGUUGAUCUGGUCCGGGUAUCAGAUUUAACUGUUGGUGUUCUUGGAACUGAGAGCGCACACACACACACACACAAACACACAAACACACACACGUAGACCCACACAGUCAGACACACAGUCAUACACACAGUCAUACACACAGUCAAACACAUAGUCACACACACACACACACACACACACACACACACACACACACACACACACACACACACACACACACAGUCACACACAGUCACACACAGUCACACACAGUCACACAGACAGAUACGCUUGGAGUUUUGGGGUUGUAGCUCCUGUAUUAAUUGUACCGGUAAGGGUUAGGCAUCUGGCUCAAAGAUGUCUACCGUUGGCCUGAAAACAGUGGGGCUUGAACACAUAAUAGACCAUCACGCCCCAUCUGCUACAUUACUAAACGUACAUUUAAACGAGUGCCAUCGAAAACACGCCAAACCCCAGCCCUGCUGGGCCCCUGCUGUGUUCACCCAGUGCCACGGUCGAUUUUCGACGCAGGUGAACUUAAAACAAACAACAGAAAAACAACGAAGAGCGGGUCUGGCUAAUUGUUUCUGCGAACGUGGUGGAGCAGCAGCAGCUGUAUCCGCCGAGUCUCGCUCUGAGUGUUCCAGCGAGCCUUGGAGACCGCGAGCGCCCAGCGCAGAGGCCAGUGAGCUCAUAAACCCCGCCGAAGGACGGCCAACUCCCCCUCCGACCAGCCCCCGCCUCAUUGGUCCGCUGCUCCCGGCCAAUGGGAAGCAGCUGUGCUUCUGGGGAUGUGUUGGGUAAUCUCCACGACGACGGCGGAACAGGGGCCUUCUCGCAUGGAGGAGGACGG
ensembl:lncRNA